AUUGAACGCUGGCGGUAGGCCUAACACAUGCAAGUCGAGCGGCUGAACAGAGCUUGCUUGCGCUUUCAGCGGGGGACGGGCGGGUAAUGCCUAGGAACAUGGCUGGCUGCUGGGGCUUAGGUGAGGAAACAGGGACAAAUACGGCAAACGCGCAGACGGACUAAGGGGGGGAGCAUCGGAUCUUACGCCAUCACGCGAGUCGAGGUCGGAUUAGCUAGUUGGCGGGGUAAAGGCCUACCAAGGCGACGAUCCGUAACUGGUCUGAGAGGAUGAUCAGUCACACUGGAACUGAGACACGGUCCAGACUCCUACGGGAGGCAGCAGUGGGGAAUAUUGGACAAUGGGCGAAAGCCUGAUCCAGCCAUGCCGCGUGUGUGAAGAAGGUCUUCGGAUUGUAAAGCACUUUAAUUUGGGAAGAAGGGCAGUAAGUUAAUACCUUGCUGUUUUGACGGUACCAAAAGAAUAAGCACCGGCUAACUUCGUG
rnacentral:rRNA from 1 species